CUUGUUUAGUGUCUUCUUUUUCUUUAACUCUAAAACCCAGCCUGGCACCGUGACAGAUUAUCGGGAGUCAAAAGCUGAGGCGAGGUUUUGAUGGGAAAACUGGUCCACACAGAGCUCUCCCUAUUCCACAAUUGCAAGGCCAUAGCUGAGCCACUGGGGAAUCAGACUGAGCCGUUCUCUGGGGGAAGUGCCAUCCAGCUUCUAGCCAAAGCAAAGCCAAAUGUCGGUCUUUGAGGAGCCUCACCCACUGGCAAAGUAUCCCUGGCAGCUGGGCCUCCAGGCUCUCAACGCACAGUGGAAAGUGGGUACGUUCGUGACCUGUAGGCUCAUAGAUCUAGAGAGAGAAGAGGUCUUAGAGGUCAUCCAGUCCAAUAAACUCAUUUCACAGCCAAUGAAACUGACCUGCUCGAGGUUACAUCGGCAGCAAGAGGCAGAGGCAAGGUUUGAACACGUGUCCUUUUGGUCCAAAGCCACAGCUCUUUCCACUGUGUCAGGCCUCUACUUCUAUGGAGAAUAUGCUGUGCUCCCUAUGGGAUGGGUUUAAAAAAAAAAAAAGGAAGUAAGACCUUUCUUACACUGCAUCAUUUCCCUAACUGCAGGCAUAACCAGGCCCCUUUUACUGUUUGUCAGUGAUGUCAUAGACAUGCUAUCAUUCCCCCAAAAUGAAUAAUUUAUUUUUUAUGUGUGCAUUUCAUGAUGUACAGAAUACCACAUAAACUAACAUAAAUGUUUCCUAAUCGAAUUAAUAUACUUCCCAAGCAGUUCAGCUGGAGGCAAUCAUUGUACUUCCUGAGAGAGCCAAAUUACUCUGCCCUCAGCCUCCUGCCAAAUCAGCCCCCUAAGACAUACACCCAUCCCUCAGAAGUACACCGGCUGCCAUAGCUCAUUGACUAAUUGACAAGCAGUUACAACUUCAGCAAAAUACCUUAAAACUUGGACCUCACACUCAGUAAGGAAACCAAUUCUGUUUAUCUCCUCAUUUUCAUCUGCCUCAUUGCCAAAGUUGCAUCAUGCUCCAUAAGUAAUGAUUAAGCAGGCUUAUUAUCAUGAUCAAUGGUAAAAAUACAGCAUUC
rnacentral:lncRNA from 1 species